GUUAACUCAAUCUACAGUGACAUGACUUUCAGGAGGACAAUUCUGACCCCUGGGUAAUAUUGCAGAUUAAACAGCACUUUGCAGUUCACCUGGAAACUCACUAAUGCUGGUUCAAGACAAUAAACAUAACGUACCCUCAGCAGAAAACACUGCUAGACUCCUCUGACCAUUCAGCCAGAGAUAAUUUUGCUGUCAUAGCAUUUUUCAGUGAAUACAGAUGAAAAACUGAUGCUGC
rnacentral:lncRNA from 1 species